GCCAUGUUCGUUUGCUUGUCGC
rnacentral:siRNA from 1 species